GACGAACGCUGGCGGCGUGCUUAACACAUGCAAGUCGAACGGAGUGGCGAACGGGUGAGUAACACGUGGGUGAUCUGCCUUGCACUUCGGGAUAAGCUUGGGAAACUGGGUCCAAUACCGGAUAGUGCAAGAUGAGAUCGCGGCCUAUCAGCUUGAUGGUGGGGUAAUGGCCUACCAAGGCGUCGACGGGUAGCCGGCCUGAGAGGGUGUAAGGCCACAUGUGGACUGGGAUACGACCCGGACGCCUACGGGAGGAAGGAGUGGGGAAUAUUGGACAAUUGGCGGAAGCCUGGUGCAGCGACGCCGCGUGGUGGAUGAAGGCCUUCGGGUUGUAAACUACUUUCGACAGGGACGCGGUACCUGUAUAGGAGGCACCGGCUAACUACGUGCAAGCAGCCGCGGUAAUU
rnacentral:rRNA from 1 species